GAUUAACGCUGGCGGCGUGCCUAACACAUGCAAGUCGAGCGGCAGCGAGUUUUACACUGAAUUCUGGAAGCUUCUAGUUGAAAGAGAAGAUUUAUUCAAGAAUUUUGUGUAAAAUGUCGGCGAGCGGCGGACGGCUGAGUAACGCGUGGGAACGUACCCCAAAGUGAGGGAUAACGCAUCGAAAGGUGUGCUAAUACCGCAUAUGGUCUUCGGAUUAAAGCCUUCGGGCGCUUUGGGAACGGCCUGCGUAAGAUUAGAUAGUUGGUGGGGUAAUGGCCUACCAAGUCGACGAUCUUUAACUGGUUUGAGAGGAUGAUCAGUCAGACUGGAACUGAGACACGGUCCAGACUCCUACGGGAGGCAGCAGUGAGGAAUCUUCCACAAUGGGCGAAAGCCUGAUGGAGCAACGCCGCGUGCAGGAUGAAGGCCUUCGGGUUGUAAACUGCUUUUAUAAGUGAGGAUUAUGACAGUAACUUAUGAAUAAGGAUCGGCUAACUACGUGCCAGCAGCCGCGGUCAUACGUAGGAUCCGAGCGUUAUCCGGAGUGACUGGGCGUAAAGAGUUGCGUAGGUGGUUUAAUAAGCGAAUAGUGAAAUCUGGUGGCUCAACCAUUCAGACUAUUAUUCGAACUGUUAAACUCGAGAGCAGAAGAGGUAGCUGGAAUUUCUAGUGUAGGAGUGAAAUCCGUAGAUAUUAGAAGGAGCACCGAUGGCGUAGGCAGGCUACUGGGCUGUUUCUGACACUGAGGCACGAAAGCGUGGGGAGCGAACCGGAUUAGAUACCCGGGUAGUCCACGCCGUAAACGAUGGAUACUAGCUGUUUGGGGUAUCGACCCCCUGAGUAGCGAAGCUAACGCGUUAAGUAUCCCGCCUGUGGAGUACGAUCGCAAGAUUAAAACAUAAAGGAAUUGACGGGGACCCGCACAAGCGGUGGAUCAUGUUCUUUAAUUCGAUGAUAACCGAUAAACCUUACCAGGUCUUGACAUCCUUGGAAUCUUUCAGAAAUGAGAGAGUGCUUUUUAAGAGCCAAGUGACAGGUGAUGCAUGGCCGUCGUCAGCUCGUGUCGUGAGAUGUUUGGUUAAGUCCAUCAACGAGCGCAACCCUUGUCAGUAGUUGUAUUUUUCUACUGAGACUGCCCCGGUAACGGGGAGGAAGGAGGGGAUGACGUCAGGUCAGUAUUUCCCUUACGUCCUGGGCUAGAAACGUGAUACAAUGGCUAGUACAAUGCGCAGCGAAGCCGCGAGGUGAAGCAAAUCGCAUCAAAGCUAGUCCCAGUUCGGAUUGUAGGCUGAAACUCGCCUGCAUGAAGUCGGAAUCGCUAGUAAUCGCAGAUCAGCAUGCUGCGGUGAAUACGUUCCCGGGUCU
rnacentral:rRNA from 1 species